GACGAACGCUGGCGGCGUGCUUAACACAUGCAAGUCGAACGGAAAGGCCCCUUUGGGGGUACUCGAGUGGCGAACGGGUGAGUAACACGUGAGUAACCUGCCCUUGACUUCGGGAUAACUUCAGGAAACUGGGGCUAAUACCGGAUAGGAAUCCUUGCUGCAUGGUGGGGGUUGGAAAGCUUCGGCGGUUUUGGGUGGACUCGCGGCUUAUCAGCUUGUUGGUGGGGUAGUGGCUUACCAAGGCUUUGACGGGUAGCCGGCCUGAGAGGGCGACCGGCCACACUGGGACGGAGAGACGGCCCAGACGCCUACGGGAGGCAGCAGGGGGGAAUAUUGCACAAUGGGCGGAAGCCUGAUGCAGGAACGCCGCGUGCGGGAUGACGGCCUUCGGGUUGUAAGCCGCUUUCAGCAGGGGCGAAGCUUGUGGUGACGGUACCUGCAGAAGAAGCACCGGCUAACUACGUG
rnacentral:rRNA from 1 species